UCUGCCAGUCUUUACACCACGGACACUCGACAAUGACAGAAAAUUUGCAGAAAAUGGUUAAUAAAUGUUACUUUAAAAAAUUAAAAAAGUGAUAUUGGAUAAUUCCUCACGGAAUAGUGGUUUAAAAUCCCUGACCUAAGCCCUUUUGUUGGGCUUAUUCAUCAUAACAAGGUAGCGAGGUAGCGCAGACCCUCCCAAAGCCGCCCGGCCCACCCUAGAGCCGGCGCUGCUGGUUUAUAAGAGACACGCGUCCUGGGCACUGGUUUGGUGCAAGACUUCCCCGAGCAGGACAUGUAAGGCACAAAAAUAGCCAGUGUCCAUGGCUGCUCACAGCUGUGAGAUUAAAGGAAGAUGGUCUUAGUCAAAGGAACAUUCUCUUGUCCGCAGCUCAAACAUCUAAAUGAUAGGGGAGCCUGCUGCAAAUGUCGGACAUAAGAUGGACCUUGAACACGCUGGCCAAGGCCGCCUCACACCCCACACAACCCCCCAGCUGCAGGUCACAU